UACGUAGGGGGCAAGCGUUGUCCGGAUUUACUGGGUGUAAAGGGCGUGUAGGCGGGUAAGUAAGUUGGAUGUGAAAUACCACGGCUCAACCGUGGGGCUGCAUCCAAAACUAUUUAUCUUGAGUGCUGGAGAGGAAAGCGGAAUUCCUAGUGUAGCGGUGAAAUGCGUAGAUAUUAGGAGGAACACCAGUGGCGAAGGCGGCUUUCUGGACAGUAACUGACGCUGAGGCGCGAAAGCGUGGGGAGCAAACAGG
rnacentral:rRNA from 1 species